GUGUUGUUUGUGAAGGGCACACGGUGGAUGCCUGGGCAUUAUGAGCCGAUGAAGGACGUGUAAGGCCGCGAUAGGCCUCGGGGAGUUGCCAAUAGAGCGUUGAUCCGAGGGUGUCCGAAUGGGGAAACCUGGCCAUGGUUAUGUGUGGUUACCCAUCAGUGAAUGUAUAGCUGGUGUGGGGGUGACGCGGGGAAGUGAAACAUCUUAGUACCCGUAGGAGAAGAAAAUAAUUAAUGAUUCUGCUAGUAGUGGCGAACGAACGUGGAUGAGGCUAAACCGUAUGCGUGUGAUACCUGGCAGGGGUUGCGUGUGUGGUGUUGUGGGGCGUUGUUGGAGGAGGCUGCCGGCUCCUCGCUUGUGUAUGUGUGUGUUAGCGGAAGUGGUUUGGAAUGGCCUGCCGUAGUGGGUGAGAGUCCCGUACGUGAAAGUGCAUGCAUGUGAGUGGAUGAUGUUCCCGAGUAGCAGCGGGCUCGUGGAAUCUGCUGUGAAUCUGCCGGGACCACCCGGUAAGCCUAAAUACUUAUGAUGACCGAUAGCGGAUUAGUACCGUGAGGGAAUGGUGAAAAGUACCCCGGGAGGGGAGUGAAAUAGUACCUGAAACCGUGUGCUUACAAUCCGUCAGAGCCUUUUUUGUGGGGUGAUGGCGUGCCUUUUGAAGAAUGAGCCUGCGAGUCAGCGGCAUGUCGCGAGGUUAACCCGUGUGGGGUAGUCGUAGCGAAAGCGAAUCCUAAUGAGGGUGUUGUCAGUGGCAUGUUCUGGACCCGAAGCGGGGUGAUCUACCCAUGGCCAGUGUGAAGCAGCUGUAAGAGGUUGUGGAGGCGCGAACCCACUUAGGUUGAAAACUGAGGGGAUGAGCUGUGGGUAGGGGUGAAAGGCCAAUCAAACUCCGUGAUAGCUGGUUCUCCCCGAAAUGCAUUUAGGUGCAGCGUUGUGUGUUUCUUGCUGGAGGUAGAGCUACUGGUUGGUUGAGCGGGACUACAAUCUUAGCAAUGUCAGCCAAACUCCGAAUGCCGGUAAUGUUAAGCAUGGCAGUGAGACUGCGGGGGAUAAGCUCCGUUGGUCGAGAGGGAAACAGCCCAGAUCGCCGGUUAAGGCCCCUAAGGGUGUACUAAGUGGAAAAGGAUGUGGGAUCGCGAAGACAGCCAGGAGGUUGGCUUAGAAGCAGCCAUCCUUGAAAGAGUGCGUAAUAGCUCACUGGUCGAGUGGUUCUGCGCCGACAAUGUAGUGGGGCUCAAGUACACCGCCGAAGCCGCGGCAGUCAGCAUUUUUUGUUGGUUGGGUAGGGGAGCGUCGUGCACUGCUGUGAAGCACCUGGGUGACUUGAUGGUGUGGAGUGUGUGCGAGUGAGAAUGCAGGCAUGAGUAACGAAUGAAAAGUGGAAAACUUUUCCGCCGGAUGACUAAGGGUUCCUGGGUUAAGCUAAUCUUCCCAGGGUGAGUCGGGACCUAAGGCGAGGCCGACAGGCGUAGUCGAUGGAUAACCAGUUGAUAUUCUGGUACCCGUGUAUGUGCGCCCAGUGGUGAAUCAGUGGUACUAACCAUCCAUGGAUCUUCUGGUCAUGCUUUUUGUGUGGUUGGUGGUGAUGUGCGUGGGAUCUUCGUUGGUAGUAGCCAAGUGAUGGGGUGACGCAGUGAGGUAGCUGAGCCAUGUAGUGGAUUGUGGUGUAAGCGUGUGGCCCGUGGCAUAGGUAAAUCCGUGUCGCAUAGUGGGUGAGGCGUGAUGCGUAGACCUUUGUGGUUGAUGUUGGUGAUCCUGUACUGUCGAGAAAAGCCUCUAGCGAGUGCAUAUAUGGCCCGUACCCAUAACCGACACAGGUGGUCAGGUAGAGAAUACUAAGGCGAUCGGGUGAACUGUGGUUAAGGAACUCGGCAAAUUGCCCCCGUAACUUCGGGAGAAGGGGGACCAUUGCUGGUGACCGACGUGGUUGAGCUGGUGGUGGUCGCAGAGAAUAGAGGGAAGCGACUGUUUAUUAAAAACACAGGUCCGUGCGAAAACGUGGAAGUUGAUGUAUACGGACUGACGCCUGCCCGGUGCUGGAAGGUUAAGAGGACCUGUUAGGGCAUUGUUGUCCGAAGCGGAGAAUUUAAGCCCCAGUAAACGGCGGUGGUAACUAUAACCAUCCUAAGGUAGCGAAAUUCCUUGUCGGGUAAGUUCCGACCUGCACGAAUGGCGUAACGACUUCCCUGCUGUCUCAACCACAGGCCCGGUGAAAUUGCAGUACGAGUAAAGAUGCUCGUUACGCGCGGCAGGACGAAAAGACCCCGGGACCUUCACUAUAGCUUGGUAUUGGUGUUUGGUUCGGUUUGUGUAGGAUAGGUGGGAGACUGUGAAGUGGUCACGCUAGUGGUUGUGGAGUCGAAAGUUGAAAUACCACUCUGAUCGGAUUGAGCACCUUAACCUUGGCCCAUGAUCUGGGUUGGGGACAGUGC
rnacentral:rRNA from 1 species